rnacentral:lncRNA from 1 species
AUCACUCUCUCUUCUCUCUCUCCCAAGACUGUCGGCGCCGCCCCAUUGCCGCCGCCGGAAAUCUCCCACCGGCGGUGGCCGACCUCCAAUCCGCCCAAAAAUUUCACCAUGAAAUCUUCAUCACCUCCUCUUUCCAUAUCUCCAAACCAUAUCCUUCAAAAAACUCUCAAACACCUUGAAUCUUAGAUCUAAGAAAUUUUUUCGUCACUUUCUCGCCCAAGUUAUUGAAGUCCCGGCCACUACCACCCCACAAUACAUACAUCAACGGAUAGAGCUCCUCAAGACCUAGCUAUUGAUAUUAAUUCUACCUCAAAAAUCCGGCGACCAAAAUUCGGCCAAAUUCCAGCGACCUCUCCGAACAUCCUUCUUGGCAUACCACCAUUUUUUUUUCGGAC